rnacentral:lncRNA from 10 species
CUACAGGACAGUAAGAACUGACAUACAAUGAAGAUCUCUUUUUUAUGAGUUGAAAUUUAUUAAUUAUGUUACUGUUUACAUUAGUAAUUACAGUUAAAACCUGAUAUUUUUAUAAAUAAAAUUUUCUGUUGCAAAAUAAAUUAUAAGUGAUUUAUUAAAAUAUACCUAUUCAUAUGUUAGCCCCCCUCUUUUUUGUGCUUAUGAGAGAAGAUACAGUGAAGAAAGGCAGAGAUUCCUCAGGCAUGUGAUCUAUUCAACUGCAUUCACAUGGACGCUACUUCUAAAAUACUCACGAUUUUAAAAAUCGCGAUUGAUUUUAUAAAUUAGAAAAUUCAGUGCUAAAAGGGCAGAAUUUUAUAAGGAAAUGCCAGUCAUCUCUAUUACAAGAUUCCAUAAUUUUGGUAAUAUAGCCUGCCUUUAAGUGACCCUCUUUUAUAUUUUCUGAACUUAAUAUAUAGGUUACUUCUUUGGGUUAAGUCCAACAAAGCCAAGUUAAAAAGCAAAUGUUCUCUAUAAAGAAACAUAAAAGCUAUUAUGAUCAUUUAAAACGUACCUUUGAAUAAUUUAUGUUUGAUCAUAGUGGUUGAGCUUGAAAUGAGAAAGAAUAUGAAACAGCAAGCUUUAAUAUAGUAUAAUAAUUUUGGAGAAUAACUAUGGAGAAGUUAGUGGAUGUACCAAAGACAUAUUAAAGACAUUAGAAUCUUGAUAUUCUUGUUCAAAUUUGAUCAUUUCUAGCUAUAGAAAACAAAUUAUGCAUACUUCUCAAUUUUACUUAAACUAGGUCCUUAAGAAAAACACAUAAGAAUUAGUGCUGUAUGUGGAGUAAAUAUGGAGAUUAACUUAAUCCAAACUAUAGUUGAGCCACUGAAAGUAAGAACUACACAUUAACCUAGGAUUCAAAUACUAGGGAAUGCCUUAUUAACUGUGUUUAUCUUGAGCAAACUGGAAAUAACUCUUUCUACCUUUGUUUCCUAAUCUAUUGAGUGAGUAUAAUAAUUCCUACCUUAAAGGUUAUUAUAAAAAUUCCAGGAGCUUAUGCAGGUAAGACACUUAAACCAAUGUUUAGCUUGUCUUGAACAGUAAGGAUCAACUAUUGCCAUGGAUGUAUGGUUGAAACCUAGGAUUCUUCAAAGCCAGCAAUGUGUUCAUGUUGUCCCUUCACUGAAAUAACAUUCUAAAAAUUGGAAAUAUUCUUACACCUAUGUCUCUUAUGUUAUUUACUCUCACUAACAUCACUUUAUUACACAAUUCAAUUAUCUGUAAAAUACUACAUUUAACCAUAUUAAAUUGCCAAUAUUUGACAAUUGUUCAUCCUCAGAAAAGACAGUUUAAAAUGACUCAAUCUAUUAAUCGCCCUUAAUUUUUCACUUUUCUUUUGACUCCCUGCUUCCCUCCCUGUUCCAUCUAUCUACUGUGCUGCAGCAAAAUUAAUAUUCUAAAAUAUAAUUUUGUAGUCUGACAGCUCUCAGAAAUUCUUAGGAUUCCACUGAUACUUUAUUUUUUUAAAUUCAAAUGUGGAACAAGAUUCCCUGUAAUUUUUCCCCAAAGGUAAAUUUUCAAAUAAUAUCUCAAAGAUCAUUAAACAUGCUCCUUUGGCUCUGGGUGGCACAGUUGCUGCUACCCAUAUAGAUGAGCCUACACUUUUCCUGUAACUGGGGGAUCCUUAGGAGACUUCAUUCAUCUCAGGAAUCCAGUAGUUGUGAUUACAGUGCCCCAACUCCAAUUCAAAACAGGACAUUUUUUUUUUUUUUAAAAAGAGGAUUUUGGUUUACACUAUCUUUUGUUAAGCAACAUUUUUCAGUUACUUCUGUGUUGUCUUUCCUCCUACUGAUUUAACAAAUCACUUGUCAUUGUAAGCUGUGAGAAAAGCUAUUUAGAGGGACAGUUACGCAAAGUGUACCUUUGCCUAAGACUUAGGGAUGAACACUCUCAGAAAUGUUCACCAAUAUUUCUCAAAAUCUUGUCCCAAGGACACACUUGGGACUGUUUAGCCCCUCAUCAACUCUUGACCAUUAUAUCAACUUGAUAGAUAAUAUAGAUAUUAAAUUGAUACCAAUUCUACACAUUUCAUAUCUAAAUAGAAUAUGUAUUCGUCCUAUGACAAAAGGCUGCUGGCAUUUUACUUGAGGGACUGAUACACAGAGUGGGAAAUGAAUAUUAGAAACCUGUGACGGUACCUAAAGGGGUAAUAAGACACAGAAAAACUAUCAAAGGGAGCUAGGUUUCAGCUUCCUGUAUUGAGCUUCUAUUCUCCAACACUGACUCUAUUACUAUGAAUAAUUUUAGGCUUGCUAAUGGCUUCUAUUCUCUGAAUAUGCUAAUGUUCUUCUCAGUUUCAGAUCUUUUAAUCUUCAUAGUCUUCCAUUUAAAAUUUCUUCUUGUAACAUUCAAAUCUUACUCUUUAUUGAGGCUAAUAGUGAUAGUUUCCUUUGAAACCUUCACUCGGCAGUAGAACAUAGUAUAAGAUGAGGGGGUGCAAUUUUUUUCAAUUUUCCCAAUAUAGUCCUGGUUUGAGUCUGUGGCCCCAGAAAUUAUUAAUAGCACCCCUUUUCAUAUUCACAAAUUUUCUGUUUUGGAUGAUAAAUUAAAUAAUGACAACGAAAAAUAAUAUUGAUGUAGCAGUAAUGUUUGUUAUUCAUGAAGUUUGUAUAAAUUUGAAGCUCCCACAAUUUCAUUAUUUUUAAGCAUACAAUGAAAUGACAUGAAUUUUAAAGUAUUAGUAAAUAAGUAAUAUUUCAGGUGCCU